GCUAGGUCUAGAGGGAAG
rnacentral:snRNA from 1 species